AAAUUCUUGUCUUAGAUUUAUCUAGAAAUGAAUGUAUCAAAAUACUAAAAUGUGACUAGAUACAUUCAUAUCUAGACAAAUCUAAGACAAGAAUUUUGGGACGGAGGAAAUAAUAC
rnacentral:pre_miRNA from 1 species